ensembl:lncRNA
GCUGGCAGCCAGACAAUAACACCGAUGGGAUCGUCUUCAUCAGAACAUGUCAGCCCCUCCGUGAAAUUUAAGUAACUGCAACUUGGAGGCAGAAAAUGAUAAAGGAAAAAAAAAAAAAGAAUACAAAAGUGCUCGGAAGAAGAAGCAGAGAGAUCAGAGGAGAGCUGCUGCAGGAGCCGCCCGCGCUGGGACAGCGGGUGCGGGCAGGAGGGAUGGUGCUACUUGCAGAGGGACCCGCAGGGACACCGUGGGACUGCCCGCAGCACAGCUCCUCUGGCACUGCCUGGGCAGGGAACCCCGCAGUCCAGCACAAGCCAGCUCCCACCAGCACAUCAGCCUCUUGCAGCGGCUGGAUCCGAGCUGUUGCUAAUGAGGAUGGUGCUCAUCAUGUGAUCGUGCCUUUGGGCAAGGGUGGUGGUGCUGCUAAUUGGCUUCUCUGGCUGCGGUUUCCUUAGGAAACAAGGUUAAAGCAACUCACAGCUCAAAAAU